rnacentral:lncRNA from 1 species
GAAAUGGAACAGGGGCAGAAAAUAGCACACUUUUACUCUACGCAACUGUUGCUUUUUCAUGAUCUUCAGGAAUUUUACUGGGAUAAUUAUCCAAAUAAAUUGCAAGCAUUCUAUCCAAAUGGAGCUCUUUCUGAGAUGAAGAGAAUUCUCAAUGUCAAGAUUUGAACAAGAAGAGAAUGGAAUACACAAUAUGGACAUCCAUAAAAAUUCAUCAGAGAGCAUUUUACUACUGAGCUGCAAAGGGAAAAACUUAAAAUGGAUAUGAAAAGUGAAGAAAGUGAUCAUAGGAGAAAACCAUUUCAGAUCAACCACCUCAGAAGAGCCAGAUUCCACUUCUGUGGCCAGGACUUUUACAUUAUGGCUGGUCCGAUUGUUUUACCCUGCGUUCUAUGCUACUAAACCUUGGAUCAUUCCUAAAGUACAAAUUCUGUUCUCGAACCACAAACAAGGCUAAAAGAUCGGAGGAAAUUCAGUGAAUAUACAGGAUUGGGGUGUCUGAUGAUUUGUGAGCCUCAAGUGACUACUCUGUGGAAUCAUCUGUCCUUGCCUUUGAAUUAGCUUUCCCUAGGCCAUGAGUCAACAUUAGUAGUUUAUACAUCCAAAUUGAUGACAAGAGCACCUCAAAGGCAGCAGCCUCAAGGAGCAGCCAUGGCCCCAGACUUGUCGCACGGAUGCAGAAAACUUAAUGGAGGAGGCUGAGGUCAGAAUGGGAAGAGUUUUUAAAAAAUAAAAAGGGGAGCUAAUAUG